UUUUUUGCUGACAUGAGUAGCGAUAAUGGGGGUGAAAAGCCUCCACGCCGUAAGCCCAAGGUUUCCUGUUCAACGUUCAUCGGAGCAGGGUGAGUCGGCCCCUAAGGCGAGGCAGAGAUGCGUAGCUGAUGGGAAGCAGGUUAAUAUUCCUGCACCGUCGUUAGAUGCGAUGGGGGGACGGAUCGCGGAAGGUUGUCCGGGUGUUGGAAGUCCCGGUAUCUGUAUCAGAGAAGGCUGUUAGGCAAAUCCGGCAGCGUAAUUCAAGGGUAUGGGUCGAGCGAACUUGUUCGCGAAGCAAUCGGAAGUGGUUCCAAGAAAAGCCUCUAAGCUUCAGUCUAACGAGACCGUACCGCAAACCGACACAGGUGGGCGAGAUGAGUAUUCUAAGGCGCUUGAGAGAACUCGGGAGAAGGAACUCGGCAAAUUUGUACCGUAACUUCGGGAUAAGGUACGCCCCGGUAGUUUGACUGGCCUGCGCCAGGAGGACGAAAGGGCUGCAAUAAAAAGGUGGCUGCGACUGUUUAAUAAAAACACAGCACUAUGCAAACACGAAAGUGGACGUAUAUGGUGUGACUCCUGCCCGGUGCUGGAAGAUUAAAUGAUGGGGUGCAAGCUCUUGAUUGAAGUCCCAGUAAACGGCGGCCGUAACAAUAACGGUCCUAAGGUAGCGAAAUUCCUUGUCGGGUAAGUUCCGACCUGCACGAAUGGAGUAACGAUGGCCACACUGUCUCCUCCCGAGACUCAGCGAAGUUGAAAUGUUUGUGAUGAUGCAAUCUACCCGCGGCUAGACGGAAAGACCCCAAGAACCUUUACUGUAGCUUUGCAUUGAAUUUUGAACCAAUCUGUGUAGGAUAGGUGGGAGGCUUUGAAGCGUGAACGCUAGUUUGCGUGGAGCCAACCUUGAAAUACCACCCUGGUUUGUUUGAGAUUCUAACCUUGGACCGUUAUCCGGUUCGGGGACAGUGCAUGGUGGGCAGUUUGACUGGGGCGGUCUCCUCCUAAAGUGUAACGGAGGAGUCCGAAGGUACGCUAGGUACGGUCGGACAUCGUGCUAAUAGUGCAAUGGCAUAAGCGUGCUUAACUGCGAGACUGACAAGUCGAGCAGGUACGAAAGUAGGACAUAGUGAUCCGGUGGUUCUGUAUGGAAGGGCCAUCGCUCAACGGAUAAAAGGUACUCUGGGGAUAACAGGCUGAUUCCUCCCAAGAGUUCAUAUCGACGGGGGAGUUUGGCACCUCGAUGUCGGCUCAUCACAUCCUGGGGCUGUAGCCGGUCCCAAGGGUAUGGCUGUUCGCCAUUUAAAGUGGUACGUGAGCUGGGUUUAAAACGUCGUGAGACAGUUUGGUCCCUAUCUGCCGUGGGCGUUGGAAAUUUGAAGGGGGCUGCUCCUAGUACGAGAGGACCGGAGUGGACGAACCUCUGGUGUACCGGUUGUCACGCCAGUGGCAUUGCCGGGUAGCUAAGUUCGGAAGAGAUAACCGCUGAAAGCAUCUAAGCGGGAAACUUGCCUUGAGAUGAGAUUUCCCGGGAGAAAAAAG
rnacentral:rRNA from 1 species